CAGUAGCCGCGGUAAUACGAAGGGGGCUAGCGUUGUUCGGAUUUACUGGGCGUAAAGCGCACGUAGGCGGAUCGAUCAGUCAGGGGUGAAAUCCCAGAGCUCAACUCUGGAACUGCCUCUGAUACUGUCGAUCUGGAGUAUGGAAGAGGUGAGUGGAAUUCCGAGUGUAGAGGUGAAAUUCGUAGAUAUUCGGAGGAACACCAGUGGCGAAGGCGGCUCACUGGUCCAUUACUGACGCUGAGGUGCGAAAGCGUGGGGAGCAGACAGGAUUAGAUACCCCAGUAGUCCCUGUCUCUUAUAC
rnacentral:rRNA from 1 species